rnacentral:rRNA from 1 species
GGGCGUUAAGUUGCAGGGUAUAGACCCGAAACCCGGUGAUCUAGCCAUGGGCAGGUUGAAGGUUGGGUAACACUAACUGGAGGACCGAACCGACUAAUGUUGAAAAAUUAGCGGAUGACCUGUGGCUGGGGGUGAAAGGCCAAUCAAACCGGGAGAUAGCUGGUUCUCCCCGAAAGCUAUUUAGGUAGCGCCUCGUGAAUUCAUCUCCGGGGGUAGAGCACUGUUUCGGCUAGGGGGCCAUCCCGGCUUACCAACCCGAUGCAAACUGCGAAUACCGGAGAAUGUUAUCACGGGAGACACACGGCGGGUGCUAACGUCCGUCGUGAAGAGGGAAACAACCCAGACCGCCAGCUAAGGUCCCAAAGUCAUGGUUAAGUGGGAAACGAUGUGGGAAGGCCCAGACAGCCAGGAUGUUGGCUUAGAAGCAGCCAUCAUUUAAAGAAAGCGUAAUAGCUCACUGGUCGAGUCGGCCUGCGCGGAAGAUGUAACGGGGCUAAACCAUGCACCGAAGCUGCGGCAGCGAACGUAUCACUUAAAGCGAUUCAGCGGGUUACGAUUGACGGAGCGAAGCGACGUCAAAGCGUAUACAAAGUCGAGUCGGUUUAAGGAUACGUUCGUUGGGUAGGGGAGCGUUCUGUAAGCCCGUGAAGGUGGCCUGUGAGGGUUGCUGGAGGUAUCAGAAGUGCGAAUGCUGACAUAAGUAACGAUAAAGCGGGUGAAAAGCCCGCUCGCCGGAAGACCAAGGGUUCCUGUCCAACGUUAAUCGGGGCAGGGUGAGUCGACCCCUAAGGCGAGGCCGAAAGGCGUAGUCGAUGGGAAACGGGUUAAUAUUCCCGUACUUGGUGUUACUGCGAAGGGGGGACGGAGAAGGCUAUGUUGGCCGGGCGACGGUUGUCCCGGUUUAAGCGUGUAGGUGUGUGUUCCAGGUAAAUCCGGUUCACUUUAACACUGAGGCGUGAUGACGAGGCACUACGGUGCUGAAGCAACAAAUGCCCUGCUUCCAGGAAAAGCCUCUAAGCAUCAGGUAACACGAAAUCGUACCCCAAACCGACACAGGUGGUCAGGUAGAGAAUACCAAGGCGCUUGAGAGAACUCGGGUGAAGGAACUAGGCAAAAUGGUGCCGUAACUUCGGGAGAAGGCACGCUGACACGUAGGUGA